rnacentral:rRNA from 1 species
GACGAACGCUGGCGGCGUGCUUAACACAUGCAAGUCGAACGGAAAGGCCCUGCCUUUGUGGGGUGCUCGAGUGGCGAACGGGUGAGUAACACGUGAGUAACCUGUCCCUGACUGUGAGAUAACCUCAGGAAACUGAGUCUCAUACCGGAUAGGAGCUCCUGCCGCUUGGUGGGGGUUGGAUAGUUUCGGCUGUUGGGAGUGGACUCGCGGCCUAUCAGCUUGUUGGUUGGGUAGUGUCUUACCAUGGCCUUGAAGGGUAGCCGGCCUGGUAGGGGGACCCGCCACGUUGGGAUUGGGAUGCGGCCCAGACUCCACCGGGAGGGGGGAGUGGGGUAUAUUAUAUAAGAGGCUGGGCCCUAAUGUGACCACGCCGCGUGGGGGAUGUGGUGCUGCGGUUUGUAUUGCACUUUCGCUUUUGACGAAGCGUUAGUGACGGUACUGGGUAAAGAAGCACCGGCUAACUACGUG